AACGAACGCUGGCGGCAGGCCUAACACAUGCAAGUCGAACGCUGUAGCAAUACAGAGUGGCAGACGGGUGAGUAACGCGUGGGAACCUUCCCAGUGGUGCGGAAUAGCUCAGGGAAACUUGAGGUAAUACCGCAUAAGCCCCUAGGGGGAAAGAUUUAUCGCCAUUGGAUGGGCCCGCGUCGGAUUAGCUAGUUGGUGAGGUAAUGGCUCACCAAGGCAACGAUCCGUAGCGGUUUGAGAGAAUGACCAGCCACACUGGGACUGAGACACGGCCCAGACUCCUACGGGAGGCAGCAGUGGGGAAUCUUGGACAAUGGGCGCAAGCCUGAUCCAGCCAUGCCGCGUGAGUGACGAAGGCCUUAGGGUUCUAAAGCUCUUUUGCCGGGGACGAUAAUGACGGUACCCGGAGAAUAAGUCCCGGCUAACUUCGUGCCAGCAGCCGCAGUAA
rnacentral:rRNA from 1 species